rnacentral:rRNA from 1 species
GACAGAGGAUGCAAGCGUUAUCCGGAAUGAUUGGGCGUAAAGCGCGCGUAGGCGGCCCGGUAAGUCCGUUGUGAAAGUCAAAGGCUCAACCUUUGAACGCCGAUGGAUACUGCCGGGCUAGAGUCCGGAAGAGGCGAGUGGAAUUCCUGGUGUAGCGGUGGAAUGCGCAGAUAUCAGGAGGAACACCAAUAGCGAAGGCAGCUCGCUGGGACGGUACUGACGCUGAGGCGCGAAAGCGUGGGGAGCGAACAGG